rnacentral:lncRNA from 1 species
AUGUUCCUGUCACUGCCAAGCCUCCUCCUGCAGCCACUGCUGGGUCACGUCCCCCAGGGCAGCCUGUGUGGCCCCAUGCGGCAGGCAGGGUCCUCCUGCUGUCCAUCUCACCCAUCUGGGGUUGGGAGUCGGGGCCAGGGGUUGGGCCGUCUGGCACAUCUUAGGGUGGGACCACCCCCCCAAUGGGGUGAAGAACCGAUGACCAGAGCAGCUCCAGUGCCUGGCCCAGCAGAGUGCCUCUUGGAUGUGCUGUCCCCUGGGGCCCUGGGCAUUGGGAUCCCUCCCCCUUCCUUCCAGGGAACCAUCCAAACAGCUCUGGGUUCAAAGCCAAAGAAACCGAAAGGACUGGGAACUGAAGCCAGCGAUGCCACAGAUGGGCCUCAGAGGACGUCUCCUUCCCAGAAGCAAGCUCCCACCCCCCGCCCCCGACCGCAGAAGAGAGCUGACCCACACCCACCCUGCAAAUGCCAAAACCAAGAUGCAUGGGGGCCAGGAGGAGGAGGAAGAGGAGGCUGGGAGAGCCCGCGGGACCCUGAGUGCCUGAGAAAGUCGUGGGACAGGGCUCCCUCCAGGUUCACCCACCAAGCCAGACUCGGCCCUCCGCCCACCCGCCACCAGGAUGGCCUCGUUAAGGAGCCUUCUCUCCCCGGGCGCCCAUCUGUGACACGUCGCCCGCAGCCUGGCUGGGCAGGGACCCUUUCUGCUCAAGCCUGUCAUCACUGGAACAGAGGCUUUUUGUUGCUCUGGGCUUUCCAGCGCCGAGUGAUCUUGCCCCAUAGACCGAAGACGCCUGGCCGGUGUCCAGCGGGGGACAGAGGGAUCUGUGUGUCGUGCUGGGUCAACGUCACAGCCCAGCCACGGCGGGAAAGUGGGACGGCCGUUCAUAAAACUCGGUCUUGUGUGAAUGAGGUUUCUUUUUCCAAAGCAGCCAGCGUGUGGGUCCGUGCUGAGAGCCCGCCACCUGCCAGGGUCACAGUGUUGAGAUUUAAGAUGAAAUUAUGA